rnacentral:rRNA from 1 species
AACGAACGCUGGCGGCAGGCCUAACACAUGCAAGUCGAGCGAAGCCUUCGGGCUUAGCGGCGGACGGGUGAGUAACGCGUGGGAACGUGCCCUUUGGUACGGAAUAGCCCCGGGAAACUGGGAGUAAUACCGUAUGUGGUCGAGAGACGAAAGAUUUAUCGCCAAAGGAUCGGCCCGCGUUGGAUUAGGUAGUUGGUGGGGUAAUGCCUACCAAGCCGACGAUCCAUAGCUGGUUUGAGAGGAUGAUCAGCCACACUGGGACUGAGACACGGCCCAGACUCCUGCGGGAGGCAGCAGUGGGGAAUCUUAGACAAUGGGGGAAACCCUGAUCUAACCAUGCCGCGUGAUCGAUGAAGGCCUUAGGGUUGUAAAGAUCUUUCAGUGGGGAAGAUAAUGACUGUACCCACAGAAGAAGCCCCGGCUAACUCCGUGCCAGCCGCCGCCGUAACAC